rnacentral:rRNA from 1 species
GACGAACGCUGGCGGCGUGCUUAACACAUGCAAGUCGAACGGAAAGGCCCUGCUUUUGUGGGGUGCUCGAGUGGCGAACGGGUGAGUAACACGUGAGUAACCUGCCCUUGACUUUGGGAUAACUUCAGGAAACUGGGGCUAAUACCGGAUAUGAUCUCCUGCUGCAUGUUGUGGGUUGGAAAGUUUCGGCGGUUGGGGAUGGACUCGCGGCUUAUCAGCUUGUUUGUGGGGUAGUGGCUUACCAAGGCUUUGACGGGUAGCCGGCCUGAGAGGGUGACCGGCCACAUUGGGACUGAGAUACGGACCAGACGCCUACGGGAGGCAGCAGUGGGGAAUAUUGCACAAUGGGCGGAAGCCUGAUGCAGCAACGCCGCGUGCGGGAUGACGGCCUUCGGGUUGUAAACCGCUUUCGCAUGUGACGAAGCGUGAGUGACGGUAAUGAGUAAAGAAGCACCGGCUAACUACGUG